GACGAACGCUGGCGGCGUGCUUAACACAUGCAAGUCGAACGGAAAGACCCUGCUUUUGUGGGGUGCUCGAGUGGCGAACGGGUGAGUAACACGUGAGUAACCUGCCCUUGACUUUGGGAUAACUUCAGGAAACUGGGGCUAAUACCGGAUAGGAGCUCCUGCUGCAUGGUGGGGGUUGGAAAGUUUCUGCGGUUGGGGAUGGACUCGCGGCUUAUCAGCUUGUUGGUGGGGUAGUGGCUUACCAAGGCUUUGACGGGUAGCCGGCCUGAGAGGGUGACCGGCCACAUUGGGCCUGAGAUACGGCCCAGACUCCUACGGGAGGCAGCAGUGGGGAAUCUUGCACAAUGGGCGGAAGCCUGAUGCAGCAACGCCGCGUGCGGGAUGACGGCCUUCGGGUUGUAAACCGCUUUCGCCUGUGACGAAGCGUGAGUGACGGUAAUGGGUAAAGAAGCACCGGCUAACUACGUG
rnacentral:rRNA from 1 species